AUUGAACGCUGGCGGCAGGCCCAACACAUGCAAGUCGAGCGGAUGAAGGGAGCUUGCUCCUGGAUUCAGCGGCGGACGGGUGAGUAAUGCCUAGGAAUCUGCCUGGUAGUGGGGGAUAACGUCCGGAAACGGGCGCUAAUACCGCAUACGUCCUGAGGGAGAAAGUGGGGGAUCUUCGGACCUCACGCUAUCAGAUGAGCCUAGGUCGGAUUAGCUAGUUGGUGGGGUAAAGGCCUACCAAGGCGACGAUCCGUAACUGGCCUGAGAGGAUGAUCAGUCACACUGGAACUGAGACACGGUCCAGACUCCUACGGGAGGCAGCAGUGGGGAAUAUUGGACAAUGGGCGAAAGCCUGAUCCAGCCAUGCCGCGUGUGUGAAGAAGGUCUUCGGAUUGUAAAGCACUUUAAGUUGGGAGGAAGGGCAGUAAGUUAAUACCUUGCUGUUUUGACGUUACCAACAGAAUAAGCACCGGCUAACUUCGUG
rnacentral:rRNA from 1 species